UUAACGGAAAAAGGUGCGGUUAAGGUUAGCUUUUCGAGUGUUUCACUUUUUGUUUCGAUGUUUCAAAAAGUGCGUAACGAGUGACGUGGACAAUGGAAAAGUGACGAAUGCGGGCGGAGGCAAAUAUGUAUGUAUGUACAUAGGUACAAAAGCUGGAGGGAGUUUUUGGGGAUUUGGCAGGCCCAAUUUCGUGCGUGAGCAUUACAAUGGGCUCUACAACGAUGAAAAACGGAGGGUUUACUUUUGCACAUGCUCGAAAUGUUAAAUGCAUAACGGUAAUCCAAAAAUAAGUGGGCCAAAACGGAAGAAGCGGAAUACAGAUGCGUAAUGGGGAAAAUAAAAAUAAAAGAAUUGACACGCAAGCGCAUUUGCAACGAAUAAGAGGGCGAAGGAGGAGACGGCAAAGAAGAGAGAGCGACACAGAAUUCUUGGUAUUGCUGUUGGUCGCUCACACGAAAGGAGAUCGCGAUGUUCAUUCAUAGAUGAUUGCCAACGAAAUAAAUUGGUUCUUCAAACAUACAAAUUUUAAGAUAUAACAAAAAUUAGACACAAUAAAAAAUGUGAUCUACUCAGCA